rnacentral:tRNA from 1 species
GCGGAUGUGGUGGAAUGGUAGACACGCUUGUUUAAGGGGCAAGUGAGAAAUCGUGUGGGUUCAAGUCCCGCCAUCCGCACCA